AAAAGCUGCCUUUUCAGCUUAGGUUCCUCUAAGCAAUCCCUACCUGCUCUACCACCUUUUUGUUGCUUCCAACCCCAAGAUAGGGCAAUCUAUGGGUCUACCCUGAAACAUUCUACCUGGGCAUCAAUCAUUCCUUCCUAUGCCUGGAGGAUAGAAGACUGAAAUGAAGGUGUCACAGGCCCAUGCUCCCACAAAAGGCUCUGGAGAAGAAUCUUCCCUUGUUACUUCUACCUUCUGGCAAUCCUUCUGUUUUUUGAUGCAGUGAAAAGAAGGGCCAUAUGUACCACAAUGUUCAGAGCAGCAAUGUC